GUCAGUACCGUAGCUAACGCGUUAAGUGUCCCGCCUGGGGAGUACGCACGCAAGUGUGAAACUCAAAGGAAUUGACGGGGGCCCGCACAAGCGGUGGAGUAUGUGGUUUAAUUCGAUGCAACGCGAAGAACCUUACCAGGGUUUGACAUCCCGCGAAUAACCCGGAAACGGGUUAGUGCCUUCGGGAACGCGGAGACAGGUGGUGCAUGGCUGUCGUCAGCUCGUGUCGUGAGAUGUUGGGUUAAGUCCCGCAACGAGCGCAACCCUCGUGGUUAGUUGCCAUCAUUAAGUUGGGCACUCUAGCCAGACUGCCGGUGACAAACCGGAGGAAGGUGGGGAUGACGUCAAGUCAGCAUGCCCCUUACAUCCUGGGCUACACACGUACUACAAUGCUGCGGACAAAGGGCAGCCAACUCGCGAGAGUGAGCAAAUCCCAUAAACCGUGGCUCAGUUCAGAUUGCAGGCUGCAACUCGCCUGCAUGAAGGAGGAAUCGCUAGUAAUCGCAGGUCAGCAUACUGCGGUGAAUACGUUCCCGGGCCUUGUACACACCGCCCGUCACACCAUGGAAGUCGGCCACGCCCGAAGUCGUUAUUCUAACCCCUUGUGGGAGGGAGGCGCCGAAGGC
rnacentral:rRNA from 1 species